AGAUCAAGAGCAGGGAGCAAGCCAGGCCAAGAAGCCCUCCUCACCAAAGAAGAAAAAGAAAAGAGUUGCUGACCUCUUCUCCCCUCAGAAAGCACCUGAACAAUGCAGUGAGGAUGGGGGUUCAGAUGUAGUAGAUCAAGAGCAGGGAGCAAGCCAGGCCAAGAAGCCCUCCUCACCAAAGAAGAAAAAGAAAAGAGUUGCUGACCUCUUCUCCCCUCAGAAAGCACCUGAACAAUGCAGUGAGGAUGGGGGUUCAGAUGUAGUAGAUCAAGAGCAGGGAGCAAGCCGGGCCAAGAAGCCCUCCUCA